ACAUAAAGCCAAUUCAAAUACUAGUAUUGGUUUUACGUCCACGAGGUUCACUAAUAUUUUGAUCUUUUCCGAUGAAAAAAUGCGCUUUAUAUUCCGCUGUUUCUUUACCAAUUAAAACAAAGUUGAACUCAAAAGGGGGGAGGGAGAGAGCCAAAUUGUUUCUCACCGUUCCAAAAAUGCCACAAGGAAGGAAGUUUUUAUGGAGAAAUCCAAAAGAUCCAAAAAGCCAUGAAGUUACAAUUACAGAGACCCCAAUAGCGGAACAAGAUACAGCCUGUGUCAAUAGAAUUUCCAAUCUGCCAGUUGAAAUAAUGCAUCAAAUUCUUUGCUGGGUCCCACCUAAAGAUGCAGCCAGAGCUAGUGUUUUGUCCAAGAGGUGGCAAAGCAUUUGGACUUCUCUCCCAGGUAUUUAUAUGGACGAAUUCCAAUUUGGGGUCAAGUUAUUCCUAGAAUCUGGAGAUAUAUGGCUAGAUUAUAAAGAUGCCUUCCUAACUUACUUGGAAAAAUCCUUAGACAGGUGUGAGAAGCGUGAAUACAAUGGUGAAGUUUGCUUGCUCUAUCUUCGAAUGACCUGUUGAUGACUUUAAUCCUUCUAGUGAACUACCGCUCAAAAAAUGGAUCCAAUUUGCCAAAAAUAAGGUUAAAACGUUACAUCUUGCUCUAGAAGGGCCUCCUGAUUUUUUUUGAGAAUUCUGGUAUUGCAUUUUUCUCUUCUACCUUAGUAGUCUUAUGUUUCCAGAAUUGUGAUAUUACAUCGUCAUACUCUUUUAUGAUCCCUAGUCUAAGAUCACUCUUUCUAUCUGAUGUCUCGAUGGAUGUUGAUUUUGUAUUUGCGGAUUUCAUUGCCGGGUUCCCUCGAAUCGAGGAAUUAAUCAUUGAGCCUUUUCCAUAUGACUUGGACACGAUAGUAGUUCCAAAUCCUAGCCUAAUUAUUUUGAAGGUGAUAUUUCAAUCUUAUAACCACGUCCUACUAGUUAUAGACUCCACAAAGCUGGAAUCUCUUGUAUUAAAUGACUUCAGACUGAGUAGAUGCGAAGUACAGACCACUCCCACGACUACAGUCAAGAAUUUGACAUUGCAAAAAGUUCUUGUCCAAGAAAGGACAUUGAGUCCUUUUAUCAACAGAUUCCCUCUCCUAGAGAACCUGAUGAUAGAUGGUUGCCGCCUUGAUUCUUCUUCUGAAGAUGGUAUUUGGCUCCGUGAUUUGCAAUGCAUUUUGUUUCUCACCAGCAUCUGGCAAACGUUGUGUGGAAGGAUGAUGAAUAUGAAAUAGUAGAGGAGAUAAUUAUAGAUGCUACCAACAUAAAAUCUCUUGAGUACUCUGUUGGUCUCACGUCUUUUCCUGGAAUAAAAGCUUCUCAUGGGUUGGAAUUUGUUAGACUUCAUCUCAGGCCCAAAGUGCUUAAUGCUCGCAGCUGGUACAUUUGGUUGCGGACUAUCUUGGAGUCUUUUGCUCAUUCCGAGCAUUUAACUUUGAUCUGCCGGAGUGAACACUUGUCAGGAUAUUAUCCUUCUUAAUGAGCUAACUGAGAUAUUACUUCCAGCAAUCAGUAAGAUCGAGAAUUUGGAACUUCAAAAUUGAUUGAUCUACUGCCACUUCUCAAAAUAUUUUAGAUGGCUUUAUUUGGAUUCUUCCAAGUUUGAAGACUUUGUCACUGACAUUGGGUUCCAUUUCAAAAAUCAUCGAGUUUCACAGAGGAUGAUGUCGAGGUUAAUUCAGCCAGAACAAAAGCUGGCCCACAAGCAGAUGCUAACAUAAAAUGAUUAGAGACUAGAGAGAAUACUUCCCUUGGAUUAGUGAAUUUUUUUUUGUUUUGAACUCCAUACUUUUGGAAGUUGAAGCAGACUUAGCUUGUAGCUAGCCAAACAGCUGAUUCAUGCUUAACGAAUCACAAGUUCUCCCGUGCAAGAAAUAUGCUGUUGUUUAAAGUGCUCUUAAUUAGGAGAGUUUGCUAGUUAAUGUCACAAUUGCGACAAAUUAAAUCAUCAU